rnacentral:rRNA from 1 species
GACGAACGCUGGCGGCGUGCUUAACACAUGCAAGUCGAACGGAAAGGCCCUGCUUUUGUGGGGUGCUCGAGUGGCGAACGGGUGAGUAACACGUGAGUAACCUGCCCUUGACUUUGGGAUAACUUCAGGAAACUGGGGCUAAUACCGGAUAGGAGCUCCUGCUGCAUGGUGGGGGUUGGAAAGUUUCGGCGGUUGGGGAUGGACUCGCGGCUUAUCAGCUUGUUGGUGGGGUAGUGGCUUACCAAGGCUUUGACGGGUAGCCGGCCUGAGAGGGUGACCGGCAACAUUGGAACGGGGAUACGGCCAAGACUCCUACGGGGGCAGCAGUGGGGAAUAUUGCACAAUGGGCGGAAGCCUGAUGCAGCAACGCCGCGUGCGGGAUGACGGCCUUCGGGUUGUAAACCGCUUUCGCCUGUGACGAAGCGUGAGUGACGGUAAUGGGUAAAGAAGCACCGGCUAACUACGUG